rnacentral:misc_RNA from 1 species
AUCAUUGAGAUCCUGGAUGAG